CAAUUCAACAUAUUUUUAUGAUAGAUUCAUGCAUUUAUAUAAGAUAACGUCAUCACAUAUCUAUAACCAGGUUUGUUAACCAUACUAAUGGCUAACUUUACAUUCAUUUCACGUUAACAUUUACUUUGUUAGCUUAUACAUGCCAUUGAUUUCCAAAAUAAAGUUUCUUUAUAUACCGAAAUCCUGAGGUUGACAGUGUGAUGUGUCUCCGACCAAAUCCGACCUCCGAGCUCUGAACACUACAAAACAGGGAAAAAGGAAAUGGGGUAAGCACUUUGUGCUUAGUAAGCUCAUGUAACAAGAAUUAUACUUACCUAAUAUUUUCAAUACAAUACAAUAAACAUCCAUAUAUCCAUUCAAUGCAUUAUUACCCUAAUAUGCACAAACUCAAUAUUCAAGUUAGUACAAUAAUUUCCAUGUACCAAUAAUAUAUACUAUGAUUGAUGAGCUCGUCAAUACCAUGAUUACCAUUUCCCUGUUAUUUUUUCAUAUUUAUCCCGUUGAAUUUCUUGGAAUUUUCGAUGGAUUUUCAGAGGUACACUUUUAGUGUACAAUUCCGGGUCUGUCAAUUCAUAUUCAUGUGCGCACAUUUUCAUUUCAGAGAGCACACUCCCGCGAACCUCAACCUUGCAAUGGGAUUACCAGUCCAGGCUAAAUCCCCUACAAUUUAAACUCAUAGAGUAUUGUCGGGAUUAUCAGUCCAGGCUAAAUCCCCUGUAAGGACAAUUACUCUAAUGAGCUUGGAUCUGAAUUACCAGUCCAGGCUAAAUUCAGACCUAAUUCGGAUUACCCGUCCGGGAUAAAUCCAUUUUACACAUAUUCUUCGGGAGGGCUAUAUCAAGAUAGGAUCACCCGUCCGGGCUAGAUCCUUUUUACCGUUAAUUCCUUUUCAGAAAUCCAUCGAAUUUUCCUUUCAUUCAAACGGGAUUUCUUCCCAUUUUAUCAAAUAUAUCAAUGUUUCAUUAAUUUUCAUAUAAUGAACACUCAAAUCAUAUUCACAUCAAUAACAUACAAUCUCAAGCAUUUAAGAAUAUAAUUCAAGUUACACGAACUUACCUUGAUACUUGUUUGUAAACAGUAAAAAUCUACUAAUCCCGAACUUUUUCAUUUCCUCGAUCUAGCUUCGUAUUUGAAUCUUCUAGAUCUAAAUAAAUAAAUUUAAUUAUCAAUUUAAUACAUUUCAUGUUCAUAUGCAACAUUCACUAUAAUUCAACUAUUAUUUAUAAUUCAUUCAAAGCUGUCUACUUGAGUCAUAGUCACUAAAUUAUUUAUAACUUGAGCUAAGGAACUACAAAUUAAGAUCUGUUAAUUUUUCCUGAAACUAGACUCAUAUAUAUUUUUACCAUAAAAUUUUCAGAAUUUUUGGUUUAGCCAAUCAGUACAGUUUAUUCGUCAAAGUCACCCCUGUUCUGUUGUCUAACAGUUCUGACCCUUCUUCACUAAAAAUAAAUUAUCUCUUUAUACAGAAUUCAAAUGAUGUUCUCCUUUGUUUCUAUUAACAAUAAACUCAUUCAGAAUUCUAUACAUAUAAAUUUAAGUCCCUAAUUAUUUUUAUUCAAUUUUUUAUAAUUUUUCAAAUUCAGAACAGGGGGAACCCGAAUUCAUUCUGACCUUGUCUCACAAAAUUCAUUAUAUCUCAAAAUUUACAAAUCCAUUGCUUACAAAAUUUCUUCUAUGAGAAACUAGACUCAACAAGCUUUAAUUCCAUAUUUUGUUCAUCUUCUAAUUCGAUUCCUACAUUUUUUUGGUGAUUUUUCAAAGUUAGUCUACUGCUGCUGUCCAAACUAUUUUAGUGCAAGCUGUUUAUUACCAUUUUUCCCCUAAGCUUUUAAUAAAUGAUAAUUUCGUCCCUACUCAAUUAGCCUCUCAAUUGAGCUGAUUUUUCUCAAUUAACAUUUUAUUCUAUCACCUUAAACUAUUUUACAACCUUUAGGAAUCAGAAUUUCAGCAAUAGACUUUAAUUCCAAACAUUUUCACAAUUAGGUCCUAAAAAUCAAUUUCCAUUGAAAUUGCCUAAUAAAAUCAUCUCAUAAACAAAUUAAAGUUUUAAUUUCAUUCUAUUUCAUCAUAAACUUAUAGCACUCAACCAUGGUGACUUCCAAUUUCAUCCAUGAAAUGAAAAACUAAUGAAUUUAAUAGUAGGACCUAGUUGUAAAAGUCUUAGAAACACAAAAACUACAAGAAAAAGGCAAGGAUUAACUCACUUGGUGCAAAUAUUAUGAAAUACCAGCUUAGAGAACCCUCCUAUGGCAUUUUUAGCUGCUGGAAUUGAAGAGAAAUGAAGAGAAAUCUAGAUAUUUCCUAUUUAGUCCUAGUUUUAUUUAGUUAAUUUUGCAAUAUUCCAAUUUACCCUUAAUUUAUCAAUUUUUUUGUUGAUUUCAUACCCUUGCCGUCCAGCCCAAAUAACUUUUGGGUCUAAUUUCCUUUUAAAUCCUUUCUCAUUAGACUCUUAAGCUAUUUAAUCACUCUAGCAACUUUUACACCUAUUACAAUUUAGUCCUUUUCAUUUAAUUGACUACUCAAACAUUAAAAUUUCCUAACGAAAUUUUAAUACCACAUUAAUAACAUUUCAUAAAUAUUUAUAAAAUUAUUUUCGACUCGGUUUUAGGAGAUAGAGGUCCCGAUACCUUAUUUUACCCAAUUUCUUCAAUAAUUUCUUUUUCUAGCUAAUCACUAAAUCGAUAAAAUUUUCCUAUCAAUAUUUUCAUACGAUUUUCCUAUCAUAUCAAUUUUCAAGAAAAAAUAUUGAAAUAAAUUUCUCUUUAAAUCGGAUCUAUGGUUACGAAACCAUUGUUCCGAUAACCUUGAAUUUAGGCCAUUACAACUCUCCCCCCUUUUAAGGAUUUUCAUUAUUGAAAAUCUUACCAGUAAAGAGGUUUGGGUAUUGUUUCCUCAUUGCCUCCUCCGGUUCCUAUGUUGCUUCCUCAAUCCCGUGCUUUUGCCACAAUACUUUCACCAAAUUUAUCUUUUUAUUUCUAAGCUCUUUUGUCUCCCGUGCCAAUAUCUUGACCGGUUCUUUACUGUAAGUCAUAUCCGGUUGAAUCUCUACUUCUAUCGGAGAAAUAACAUGUGAAGGAUCUGAUCAAUAUCGUCGUAACAUAGAUACAUGAAAAACAUUAUGGAUUCUAUCAAGUUUCGGUGGUAAUGCCAAUCGAUAAGUGACCAGUCCAAUUCUUUCUGUGAUUUCAUAGGGCCCGAUAAAUCUUGGACUCAAUUUACCCUUUCGACCGAAUCGAAGAACUUUCUUCCAAGGAGACACUUUCAGAAAUACCUUGUCACCAACUUGAAAUUCAAUCUCUUUUCGCUUAAGGUCGGCAUAUGAUUUUUGACGAUCGGAAGCUGCUUUUAGACUAUCUCGAAUAACCUUUACUUUUUCUUCUGUUUCCCGGAUCAAAUCAACCCCAUAUAUCUUCCUUUCACUGAGCUCUGUCCAAUAUAACGGUGUUCUACAUUUUCUACCAUACAAAGCUUCAUACGGAGCCAUUUUAAUACUAGACUGAUAACUGUUAUUGUAAGCAAAUUCAAUCAAAGGUAGAUACCUCUCCAAUUACCUUCAAACUCUAGUAUACAACAUCGGAGCAUAUCUUCCAAUACUUGAAUUACACGCUCAGAUUGACCAUCUGUCUGAGGAUGAAAUGCAGUGCUGAAAUACAACUGAGUACCCAAGGCUUCUUGCAAUUUAUCCCAGAAACGAGACGUAAAUCGGGGAUCUCUAUCUGAUAUAAUGGAGACAGGCACUCCAUGUAACCUGACAAUCUCAGAUAUGUACAGUUCAGCUAGUUUAUCUAAAGAAUAAUCCAUACGUACCGGAAUAAAGUGAGCUGACUUUGUUAAUCGAUCAACAGUCACCCAAAUAGCAUCUUUUUUCCUCGGAGACAAAGGUAGCCCCGAUACAAAAUCCAUAGUGAUUCUUUCCCAUUUCCAUUUCGGUAUAGUAAUUGGCUGAAGUAACCCCGAAGGUACCUGAUGUUCAGCUUUAACUUGUUGACAUAUUAAACACCUUGAUACAAACUCAGAGAUAUCACGUUUCACUCCCGACCACCAGUACAUCUUUUUCAGAUCAUUAUACAUUUUAUUACUCCCCGGAUGUACAGACAUAGUACUACUGUGGGCCUCGCGUAGAAUCUUCUGUAUGAGCUCCGAAUUCUGAGGUACAUAUACCCUACCUCUGAAUAAUAAACAAUCAUCAGAACCAAUCUGAAAUUCAGAAUCAUUACCUGACUCACACUGUUCCCGUUUAACCUGUAACUUCUCAUCAUUCUUCUGAGCUUCACAUAUUUGCUGUAAAAAUGUCGAUUUAGCUCUCAAUUCAGCAAGGAUUGAACCAUCAUCAGUCAAUGAUAACCGGGUAUUCAUAGCUCGUAAAGCAAACAGAGAUUUCCGGCUCAAAGCAUCAGCUACAACAUUAGCCUUACCCGGAUGGUAAUCAAUAAUCAAAUCAUAGUCCUUUAUCAGUUCAAGCCACCUGCACUGUCUCAAAUUCAAAUCUUUUUAUGUCAUCAAAUAUUUCAAGCUUUUAUGAUCAGUAUAAAUAUGACAUUUCUCACCGUACAAGUAAUGCCGCCAUAUCUUUAGCGAAAAUACAAUAGCAGCUAAUUCAAGAUCAUGUACUGGGUAAUUUCUUUCAUGUGGUUUAAGUUGUCUUGAAGCAUAGGCUAUUACUUUACCUUCUUGCAUCAAAACACAACCUAAACCAUUUAAUGAGGCAUCACUGUAAAUAACAAAUUCCUUACCCGGUUCAGGCUGCACUAAUACAGGUGCUUUCGUUAAUAGGUCUUUCAAUCGGUUGAAACUUUGUUGACAUUCAUCAGUCCACUCGAACUUUACAUCUUUCUGCAAUAAUCGAGUCAUUGGAGAAGCUAUCAUAGAGAAUCCCUGUACAAAUCUCCGAUAAUAACCAGCUAAACCCAAGAAACUUCUAACUUCAGAUACAUUAUUCGGUGGACUCCAAUUGACAAUAGCUGAGAUUUUACUUGGAUCUACCCUGAUGCCUUCGGCAGAUACAAUGUGUCCAAGAAAACCCACUUCUCGAAGCCAAAAUUCACAUUUACUGAAUUUAGCAUACAACUGCUUCUCUCAUAGAAUUUGCAACACAAUUUUCAAAUGUUCUGCAUGUUCUUCUUCAUCCCGAGAAUAAACCAAAAUAUCAUCAAUGAAUACUAGUACAAAUCUGUCUAAGUACGAUCUGAAUAUCCGGUUCAUCAAAUCCAUGAAUACUGCAGGUGCAUUAGAUAGCCCAAACGGCAUAACUAGAAACUCAUAAUGCCCGUACCUGAUUCUAAAGGCUAUUUUUGGCACAUCUGACUCCUUUACCCGUAACUGAUAAUAACCUGAUCGAAGAUCAAUCUUUGAAAACAUAGUAGCACCUUUCAGCUGAUCAAAUAAAUCAUCAAUUCGGGGUAACGGGUACUUAUUCUUUAUGGUUACUUUAUUAAGCUGCCGGUAGUCGAUACACAAUCUCAAAGACCCAUCUUUCUUUUUCACAAACAGAACCGGAGCACCCCAAGGUGAAGGACUCGGUCGGACAAAACCCCUGUCAACAAGCUCUUGCAACUGUGUCUUUAACUCUUUUAAUUCUAUAGGAGCCAUCCGGUACGGAGCUAUGGAGAUCGGAGUAGUUCCCGAAAUCAAAUCUAUAGAAAAUUCCACUUCUCUUUCUGGUGGCAAUCCUGGUAAUUCUUCUGGAAACACAUCGAAAAAUUCACAUACCACUGGAACUGCCUGUAUCUUUGACUCAGAUACCUUGGUGUCGAGUACAUUAGCCAAGUAAGCAUCAUACCCCUUUUUGACAUACCUCUGUACUGCCAUUACUGAAAUCAUAUCAGAUAACCCCUCUGUCUGAUCAGAUUAAACCCGAAGCAACUCACCAUUCUGACAUUUUAGCACAAUAUAUUUUUGUUUACAAUUUACUACCGCAUCAUGCUGGGUUAACCAAUCCAUACCCAAUAUCACGUCAAAUUUAUCAAAUGGCAGUAACAUCAAAUCAGCCAGGAAACAAUAACCUCUUACCAUCAGUGGACAAUUUUUACAAAUUUUAUCCACUAACACAUACUGGCCCAGGGGGUUCGAGACUUUAACCACAAAUUCAGUAGGUUCAACAAAUAAAUUUUUAACAAUUGCAAGUUUAACACAUAUAUAUGAAUGCAUAGAACCAGGAUCAAUCAAUGUAGUAAUAUCAGUAUCAAGUAAAGAAAAUGUACCAGUAAUAACAUCGGGUGCUGAAGCAUCUUCUCUGGCACGAAUGGCAUAUGUCCUAGCAGGUGCUCGUACCUCAGGCCUACCUAUAGUAUCUUUUGUAGCUCCUCGACUACCACUGACAUUACCGGAUGGUCGAGGUGGUCUGCCCCUCGAAACUAGAUUACUCGGCUUCGAUAUAUGUUCAACUUCUUUUUCAACCCUUUCUGGACAAGCUCUGAGGAAAUGGUCAAAAGAACCACAUCGGUAACAAGCCCCACUCUUAAAUCGGCAUUCACCAAAAUGAGCUUUAUUACAGUACUGGCAUCUCGGUUUAGGAGUGCCAACACUGCCAACACUGGUCACUGAUGGAGUAGAAGGCCUUGGAUUAGUGCUUGAGAACCUCGCUCUUUGCCCGAAUACCCAAUGGCUGAAGUAGAACGAUCCUGAUAUUUCUUCAAUUUCUUUGAAGCAGAAAACUGGAAUUUUUCCAUCGGUCUUUUACUAAAAAUUCGAGCUUCCCUCUCAGCCUGUUUCUUUUCUUUGCUCAAUUCUUCUGCUUUAUAACUCUCUCUGCCAAUGUAGCAAACUCUCAAAUUUCAAGAAUUCCGAUCAGUAACUUAAUGUCUUCAUUCAACCCUUCUUCGAAUUGUUUGUACAUUUCAGCUUCUGACUGUACCCAUUCUCGAGCAUAUUUACUCAAUCGAACAAAUUCUCUUUCAUAUUCAGAUACUAAUCUAUUGCCCUGUUUCAGCUUAAGAAAUUCUUUUCUUUUCUGGUCAAGGAACCUCUGGCUGAUAUAUUUUUUUCUGAACUCGGUCUGAAAGAAUUCCCAUGUAAUUUCUUCUUUCGGAACAACUGAAGCUUUAGUAUUCCACCAAUGGUAAGCUGUAUCUUUUAUCAGUGAGACGGCACAUUUCAGACAUUCUUUUGGCGUACAAGAUAAUUCUUCCAGAACCCGAGUAGUGUUUUCUAACCAGAAUUCAGCCCAUUCGGAAUCAUCAUCAACUGCUGCUCGAAAUUCUUCGGCUCCAUAUUUUCGAAUUUUAUCUACUGGAGCUUUUCCUUUUCUGACAGAUGCAGUACCUGCACCUUGUGGGAUCUCGGGAACCGGUGAAAGAGCAGGAGGGGGAGCAUGAACUUGCUGCACUACAGGGUUAGUUCUUAAAUAUUGAUUAAACCAUUCAUUCAUCAUUUGAAAGAAGGUUGUUUUUGCCUCCUCCCCUCGACCCUCUGUCUCGGGCCUUCUACUGCUAGUUUCUUCCCUUUGUACUGAAGCCGGAGCAUGACUCCCAGCUUCCUCAGAUUGAGCUCGGUCGGAUGACAUUACUAUAAGAAAAACACAUUUUAAAUGGUGAGGAGAUAUCACACUAUCAAUAAUAAUUUAAAUGGCAUGUAUAGCUAAUUCCGUAUUUGCUACAUCGGUCCUAGAACCGGUUAAACCGUAGCUCUGAUACCAAUAAAUGUAAUACCCCUACCCGUAUUCAUUGUCGGAAUAGGGUACGAGGCAUUACCGGAGUUUAUGAAUUAAAUAUUUUUUUAUUCAAUAUAGCCCCUUUAUAAAUAUCUCACCUUCCCUGCAAUAUUAAAUCGAGACCAAUCCACAUCAACCAAAUCAAUUCAACAUAUUUUUAUGAUAGAUUCAUGCAUUUAUAUAAGAUAAAAUCAUCACAUAUCUAUAACCAGGUUUGUUAACCAUACUAAUGGCUAACUUUACAUUCAUUUCACAUUAACAUUUACUUUGUUAGCUUAUACAUGCCAUUGAUUUCCAAAAUAAAGUUUCUUUAUAUACCGAAAUCCUGAGGUUGACAGUGUGAUGUGUCUCCGACCAAAUCCGACCUCCGAGCUCU
rnacentral:lncRNA from 1 species